UACGUAGGGGGCUAGCGUUGUCCGGAAUCAUUGGGCGUAAAGCGUGCGCAGGCGGUUCGUUAAGUUCGAUGUGAAAGCCCCGGGCUCAACCUGGGAACUGCAUUGGAAACUGGCGAGCUUGAGUGCGGCAGAGGGGGGUGGAAUUCCGGCGUGUAGCAGUGAAAUGCGUAGAGAUGCGGAGGAACACCGAUGGCGAAGGCAGCCCCCUGGGCCGACACUGACGCUCAGGCACGAAAGCGUGGGGAGCAAACAGGG
rnacentral:rRNA from 1 species